rnacentral:rRNA from 1 species
UAUUUGAUUUUCUUCGGAAAUGAAGAUUUUGUGACUGAGUGGCGGACGGGUGAGUAACGCGCGGGUAACCUGCCUCAUACAGGGGGAUAACAGUUGGAAACGACUGCUAAUACCGCAUAAGCGCACAGGAUCGCAUGAUCCGGUGUGAAAAACUCCGGUGGUAUGAGAUGGACCCGCGUCUGAUUAGCCAGUUGGCAGGGUAACGGCCUACCAAAGCGACGAUCAGUAGCCGACCUGAGAGGGUGACCGGCCACAUUGGGACUGAGACACGGCCCAAACUCCUACGGGAGGCAGCAGUGGGGAAUAUUGCACAAUGGGGGAAACCCUGAUGCAGCGACGCCGCGUGAGCGAAGAAGUAUUUCGGUAUGUAAAGCUCUAUCAGCAGGGAAGAAGAAUGACGGUACCUGACUAAGAAGCACCGGCUAAAUACGUGCCAGCAGCCGCGGUAAUACGUAUGGUGCAAGCGUUAUCCGGAUUUACUGGGUGUAAAGGGAGCGCAGGCGGUGCGGCAAGUCUGAUGUGAAAGCCCGGGGCUCAACCCCGGUACUGCAUUGGAAACUGUCGUACUAGAGUGUCGGAGGGGUAAGUGGAAUUCCUAGUGUAGCGGUGAAAUGCGUAGAUAUUAGGAGGA